AGCGAACGCUGGCGGCAGGCCUAACACAUGCAAGUCGAACGAACUCUUCGGAGUUAGUGGCGGACGGGUGAGUAACACGUGGGAACGUGCCUUUAGGUUCGGAAUAACUCAGGGAAACUUGUGCUAAUACCGAAUGUGCCCUUCGGGGGAAAGAUUUAUCGCCUUUCGAGCGGCCCGCGUCUGAUUAGCUAGUUGGUGAGGUAAAGGCUCACCAAGGCGACGAUCAGUAGCUGGUCUGAGAGGAUGAUCAGCCACAUUGGGACUGAGACACGGCCCAAACUCCUGCGGGAGGCAGCAGUGGGGAAUCUUGCGCAAUGGGCGAAAGCCUGACGCAGCCAUGCCGCGUGAAUGAUGAAGGUCUUAGGAUUGUAAAAUUCUUUCACCGGGGCCGAUAAUGACGGUACCCGGAGAAGAAGCCCCGGCUAACUUCGUG
rnacentral:rRNA from 1 species